rnacentral:hammerhead_ribozyme from 1 species
AUCCAUCUGACGAGUCCAAAAUAUGACGAAACCUACAUCCUGGAU